rnacentral:lncRNA from 1 species
UUCCCACUCUCAACUCACACGACGACAGUGAUCAUGAAGUUUGCUAUCCUGAUCUGCGUUUCUGUUCUCUUUUACCUCUCUGUGGCAGAAACACAACAGAGCGAGGACAACAAUGUUCCUGAUUUUGGAUGUACUCGUGAGUACAAUCCAGUGUGUGGAGAUGAUGGAGUCACAUACUCCAAUGAGUGCAUGCUACACUGGGAGAGCAAGUAUGUGAGCAAUGUGUAACACUGAACAUUUGUGCAAUGUAAAUCCAGCAUUUUGAGAAAGCUGAGGCAACAGAUGUGAGAAUUCUCAGGCUAAGCCCAGAUGUCAGUUACUUACAAACCUUUCAAGGUUUAGUAAACAUGUUUUCAUUAUGAGGACAAAAUAUCUUUUAUAAAAAAAAAGCACAAGGCAUAGUCAACAUUUUUUACAGCAAUUCAAACAGUAUUUGUCCCUCUUCUAACCGGUCUUCUCUGUUUAGGCAUCGUAACAAGAACGUCAGCCUAAAGCACGUAGGAGUGUGUGAGACCUCCUGAACUCACUGCUGUUACAUCUAUGGCAUCCAAAAUGGCUUUCCAUUUAGAUACUACAGCAACUACGAAUGAUUUUCUGUCAUACGUUAAUCAGUAUCAUAUAAUGACAUAUGCUAUUUGAACUUUUCCAGACAUCACUUUGUCAACAUGUAAUUUCAUGCAAUAAAACAGUUUAGAAUUUAAGAGCUCUAUUUUAUUAAUAAAUUAAUAAAUAAGAACUGUAAUUUCAAAUAAACCAUAUUUAUAAUCUACAUUUUCUUUCUUUCUGUAGGAUUUUGUAGUACAUAAAAGCAUUUUUUUCUUCUGGACCAGAUAAAAAAAAAACUACAGAAUCUUCAGAAAGCUAAAAAUACUUAAAAUUACAUUUUUAAUAUAUGGGUGAAUACAUGAUUACUUUUUGUUUGCAUCAUUCAAAAAUACAUUAAAAAUUCAAUUUAUACAUACACUGACUCGA